AUUGAACGCUGGCGGCAGGCCUAACACAUGCAAGUCGAACGAGUGGCGGACGGGUGAGUAAUACAUGGGAAACUGCUCGGUGGUGGGGGAUAACGUAUGGAAACGGUCGCUAAUACCGCAUACGAUUAGAUGAGCCCAUGUGGGAUUAGCUAGUUGGUGGGGUAACGGCCCACCAAGGCGACGAUCCCUAGCUGGUCUGAGAGGAUGACCAGCCACACUGGAACUGAGACACGGUCCAGACUCCUACGGGAGGCAGCAGUGGGGAAUAUUGCACAAUGGGCGAAAGCCUGAUGCAGCCAUGCCGCGUGUAUGAAGAAGGUCUUCGGGUUGUAAAGCACUUUCAGUGGGGAGGCGUUACCAGCAGAAUAAGCACCGGCUAACUCCGUGCCAGCCGCCGCGGUAAUAC
rnacentral:rRNA from 1 species